GCGACAGGCCUAACACAUGCAAGUCGAGGGGCAGCACAAGGAGCAAUCUGAGGUGGCGACCGGCGCACGGGUGAGUAACACGUAUGCAACCUGCCUGUAAGCGGGGAAUAACCCGUUGAAAGACGGACUAAUACCGCAUAAUACUAAAUUACUGCAUGGUAAUUUAUUUAAACAUUUAUGGCUUACAGAUGGGCAUGCGCAUGAUUAGCUAGUUGGAGAGGUAACGGCUCCCCAAGGCAACGAUCAUUAGGGGUUCUGAGAGGAAGGUCCCCCACACUGGUACUGAGACACGGACCAGACUCCUACGGGAGGCAGCAGUGAGGAAUAUUGGUCAAUGGACGAGAGUCUGAACCAGCCAAGUCGCGUGCAGGAAGAAUGUCCCUAUGGAUUGUAAACUGCUUUUGCAGGGGAAUAAAGUGCAUCACGUGUGAUGUUUUGUAUGUACUCUGCGAAUAAGGAUCGGCUAACUCCGUGCCAGCCGCGGC
rnacentral:rRNA from 1 species